ensembl:lncRNA
GUUUGUUGAUCCGUUUAUCUGUUGAUAGACAUUUGGGUGUUUCCAUCUUUUGGCUGCUAUGGAUAAGGUUGCAACGAUGCAUACUCGUAAACAUUUCCCAGGAGGUUUAGUGAGCAUCCAGAGUGGAGAUCUACUGAGUAAAUGUCCGUUAUUUGUUGACCACAUGUUAUCUGCUAGACACCACUGUUCCGAGUCCCCACUUAUCCCCCACGACAACUCAGUGAGGCGGGAGACUCUCUCUUUCCUACAGACGAGAAAAUUAAGCACCUGGAGGCGAAGACCACUCAGUGGAGUGCUGGAAGGCAUCUUCUGUAAACCCUGGACUUCUACAGAGGAUCUCUUGUCCAUGGGUGCCUGCCCCAGGCAGCGUUCUCCAAUUCCUCCCAGCCUGCGGCCAAGGGGGGCUGAAGCAGUUUACAGGCCACUGCCAGUUCCACAGCCUGUACUCUUCCGUCUGCCUGCUACCUGACUCACAUGUGGGGGAGACCCUUCCUGGGACCCUUGGUAUGUGGUGCUAGGUCCCCCAAAGUCCCCCAGAGGCACUUUUGUUCGUGGACGGAUGCUGAAUUUUAGGUGUUGAAGUGGGGACAAAAGGGAGGGACGUCCUAUGCCACCAUGAUGCUGACUUCUCCAAUUUUGUCCCUUAUAUUUGGCGUCUUGACCCCUUCCGGGUUAUUUUUUGUGUGUUCGGUGUGCGGUAAAGGUCCGACUUCAUUCUUUUGCAUGUGGAUGUCUAGUUGUCCCAGCACCGUUUGUUGAAAAGACUGUUCUUUCCCACAUUGAAUCGUUUUGUACCCUUGAUGAAAAUCAACUGACUAUAAUUGUGAGGAUUUAUUUCUGGACUAUCAAUGCUUUUCCACUGAUGUAUAUAUCUUUCCAAUGCCAAUACCACACCAACUUAAUUACUGCAGCUUUGUAGUAAGUUUGUUUGUUUAUUUAUUUAUUUAUUUAUUUAUGUUUUUAUUUAUUUUUGAGACAGAGACAGAGCAUGUGAGCAGGGGAGGGGCAGAGAGAGAGGGAGACACAGAAUCCGAAGCAGGCUCCAGGCUCUGAGAGGUCAGCACAGAGCCCGACGCGGGGUUCGAAGUCACAAACCACGAGCUCGUGACCUGAGCUGAAGUUGGAUGCUUAACUGACUCAGCCGCCCAGGCGCCCCUAAUGAAACUUUUAAUCAACAGUCUGAGUAUGACAGAAACGAUUAUUAAUACACCUACCUGUAUCACUAUCUUGAAUUCCUUCAUUUUGACCAAAAAUAUUCUCCAUGAAAUGUCGUCAAAUAUCUUCCUGAAAACCACAAACAUUAUGUCUGCAUUUAUUCACAUCUACCAGCCCAGUGACUUGAUAGGCUCUCAGGAAAUUCUCUCUCUCUCUCUCUCUCUCACACACACACACCCCACAUACUCUUCCCUUCUGCCUUCUCCAGUCCCCCAAAGCUGGAUCAGUUUCAGCCGAAGGUCUGUUCAUUCUAGUUUCCAAAUUAAUCAGAAUAUAGAACGCGCCGUAUUUGGUGCGAAUGUUGAGGUUCUUCAAGAUCAUUAACGUGUCAGGCCACUGAAAGAUGGGAACUCAUCAGUCUUGUUCAUUUCUGUACUCCAGACCCCAAAGAGGGUUUGCCACACCGAUGGUACUCAUUAUAUAUAGUCAACCUUUGGACAACACAGAGGUUAAGGAUGCGGACCCCUGGGGUGCCUGGCUGGCUCAGUCGGUGAGUGCCUGACUCGGUUUCGGCUCAGGUCAUGAUUUCACAAGUUUUGUGAGUUCGAGCCCCACGUCCGGUUCCAUGCUAACAGUACGGAGCCUGCUUGGGAUUCUCUCUCUCUCCCCCUCUCUCUCUGCCCCUCCUCUGCUCAAUCUCUCUCUCUCUCCCCCUCUCUCUCUGCCCCUCCUCUGCUCAAUCUCUCUCUCUCUCCCCCUCUCUCUCUGCCCCUCCUCUGCUCAAUCUCUCUCUCUCUCCCCCUCUCUCUCUGCCCCUCCUCUGCUCAAUCUCUCUCUCUCUCCCCCUCUCUCUCUGCCCCUCCUCUGCUCAAUCUCUCUCUCUCUCUCUCUCUCUCUCUCUCUCUCUCUCUCCCCCUCUCUCUCUGCCCCUCCUCUGCUCAAUCUCUCUCUCUCUCCCCCUCUCUCUCUGCCCCUCCUCUGCUCAAUCUCUCUCUCUCUCUCUCUCUCAAAAUAAUAUAUUAAUUUAAAAAAAAGGGAUGCUGACCCCCAUUCAGUCAAAAAUCUGUGUAUAAGUUUUGACUCCCCCCCCAACAUAACUACUAGUAGCCUACUGUUGACUGGAAGCCUUACCAACAGCAUAAACCGUCGAUUAAUAUGUAUUUUGUAUGUUAUGUGUAUUCUAUUCUUAAUAAGCACGCUAGAGAAAAGAAAGUGCUAUGAAGAAAAUCAUUAAGACGGGAAAAUACAUUGACAGUACGAUACUGUAUUUAUCAAAAAAAAAAAAAAUCCACAUAGAAGUCGAUCCAUGCAGUUCAAACCCGUGUCGUUCAAGGGUCAUCUGUUGCUGAGGGAGUGAGCGAAAGGGGCUUUUUGGACACAAGGAGGGAUAGUUAGUGGGAGGAUCAUGGGCUGGGGCAGUGGCAGGUAGAAAUGGAACCAGACGGAUUGGAGCUUGGCGGGAGAAGGAAGAGGGGCAGGGACCACGUCAACCCUCUUCAGCGUUACGGUUUCUCUGCUUGGUGGUACCCAUAGUAGGUAAUAAUAAAUACCAUUUUCAUAAGAUAGUGAACGUAAGA